UUCGCAAUGCCCGAAAGGGUGACGAAGCGACGUCGCGUGGGUGAUGAAGGCCCUUGGGUCGUAAAGCCCUGUCAAGAGUUAUGAAAGCAGCUUGCUGCUUGACAAAGGCUCUAAAGGAAGUCACGGCUAACUCUGUGCCAGCAGCCGCGGUAAUACAGAGGUGGCAAGCGUUGUUCGGAAUUAUUGGGCGUAAAGAGCACGUAGGUGGGUUUGUAAGUCAGAUGUGAAAGCCUCCUGUUCAACGGGAGAAUUGCAUCUGAAACUACAGAUCUUGAGUGUAGGAGGGGAGAAUGGAACUUCUGGUGGAGCGGUGAAAUGCGUAGAUAUCAGAAGGAACGCCGGCGGCGAAAGCGAUUCUCUGGCCUAUUACUGACACUCAGUGUGCGAAAGCUAGGGGAGCAAACGGGAUUAGAUACCCCGGUAGUCCUAGCCGUAAACGAUGGGCACUAAGUAGAGGGGUUU
rnacentral:rRNA from 1 species